UGAAUACGAGACGCUAAGGCGUCGAAGUAGUGUAUGUCAUACUUCCAAGAAAAGCUUGCACUGUCAUAGAUAAAAAACGCCUGUACCAUAACCGACACAGGUGGGUAGGUAGAGUAUACUAAGGGGCGCGAGAUAACUCUCCCUAAGGAACUCGGCAAAAUAACUCCGUAACUUCGGGAGAAGGAGUGCCUUAUUCUUAAGGUUGCAAUAACAAGAUCCAAGCAACUGUUUAUCAAAAACACAGGUCUCCGCUAAGUCGUAAGACGAUGUAUGGGGGCUGACGCCUGCCCAGUGCCAGAAGGUUAAAGAAGCUGGUUAGCAUUUGCGAAGCUAGUAACUGAAGCCCUGGUGAACGGCAGCCGUAACUAUAACGGUCCUAAGGUAGCGAAAUUCCUUGUCGGGUAAGUUCCGACCCGCACGAAAGGCGUAAUGAUUUGGAUACUGUCUCGGAGAGGGGCUCGGUGAAAUAGACUUGUCUGUGAAGAUGCGGACUACCUGCACCAGGACAGAAAGACCCUAUGAAGCUUUACUGUAACUUGAAAUUGAAAUUGGACUUUAUUCGCGCAGUAUAGGUGGGAGGCGUUGAUUAUAAUCUUGCGGGAUUAUUGGAGCCAUUAGUGAGAUACCACUCUUGUAAUGUUAGAUUUCUAACUUUGAAUCAUUAUCUGGUCAAAGAACAGUUUCAGGCGGGCAGUUUGACUGGGGCGGUCGCCUCCUAAACGGUAACGGAGGCGUACAAAGGUUUCCUCAGAACGGUUAGUAAUCGUAUCUAGAGUGUAAAGGCAUAUGGAAGCUUGACUGUGAGACCUACAAGUCGAGCAGGGACGAAAGUCGGUCUUAGUGAUCUGACGGUACUGAGUGGAAAGGCCGUCACUCAACGGAUAAAAGUUACUCUAGGAUAACAGGCUGAUCUCCCCCAAGAGUUCACAUCGACGGGGAGGUUUGGCACCUCGAUGUCGGCUCAUCGCAUCCUGGGGCGGUAGUACGUCCCAAGGGUUGGGCUGUUCGCCCAUGAAAGCGGUACGCGAGCUGGGUUCAGAACGUCGUGAGACAGUUCGGUCCAUAUCCGGUGUGGGCGUUAGAAUAUUGAGAGGAGCCUUCUUUAGUACGAGAGGACCGAGAAGGACAUACCUCUGGUGUACCAGUUAUCGUGCCAACGGUAAACGCUGGGUAGCUAUGUAUGGAGUGGAUAACCGCUGAAAGCAUCUAAGUGGGAAGCCCACCUCAAGAUAAGUAUUCUCAUC
rnacentral:rRNA from 1 species